GGACGCCAUGUAGAAUCAGACCCUAACUACAGAAAAGCUUCGCUAAUGACUCAGAAUUUUCCUCAAAGUAGUCGACAAUACGCUCGGUGGCUUCGCACACUCGGCCAGAAGCGUACUACUUGACAUGCAUAUCAAAAUAGUAGUCUACUUUGUCAGAUAUCUCUGCAUUCACUACCUUGUUGCUGCCACCAAGCACUCUAUUCUUCAACUUCUCUGCGACAGCAAUGAGCGUCGGAAAGUUUGCUCUUCUAAGUAUAGAGCAGCUCGCAGGAUCCUCAUGC